GGAAAUGUAAAUGUUUUUGAGGGUGGUUUGUUACUCUAGUUUGUUUUGACUAGAUGUAACCAUAACUCUCUUAUAAAGUUGUUAAGCUUGUGAACCAAGCUUUGUAAACUUCGUUUCAAGAAUGAACUUUGAAGUUUACUCGUGAAAUAAAAUGUUAUUUACCGUAUUUAAAUUUUACGCUUUCCGCAUUAAAUUCCUUUCGAUAUUUCCUGUUCUGUUUUAUUUUUGAUAUCUCCAUUCCUGUCCUCAUAUUUUCACAGAGAUAUCUUUUUCAAAGUUUUGUGAUUGAAUUGGAAUUUGUUCUCUUCGGGGAUAGUUAAACAAUAGAUAUAUUCACCCCCUCUAUAGCCUAAUCCGAUCUCACAGCAACACACGUGUAUUUUUUCUCUAGUGAUAUACCAUAUGGAACUAGGGAUGAGAAAAGUUAACCGACACCGAGAAACCGAACCAAACUAACAUAGAUGGAAACAAAAUGACCG
rnacentral:lncRNA from 1 species